rnacentral:lncRNA from 1 species
AGAUGAGCCUCUAUAAGAAGCAGGGUCGGAAAUUUAGAUACUUUUGCCAGAAAAAACAAUUUUUAUACCAUAUUUUAAACUCUGUACUGCAGGAAGGCUCUAUGGAUAGCAUAUAUGAACCAAUCCCACAACAAGCUAAAGAAGAAAGUGCCUGCAGUAGACUUGAGGAGAUGGGACAUGCACACCAUAAGGUCUUCCUGGAAGCUUCUAAUUUUGAAGCUGAAAAACCAAAAAGAAAAAUGUCAUUCCAAGAGCUUCCAUCUGAAGAUAAAAUAUUUGGUUAGUGAUUCUUAAGGUGAUUUGUGGAAAUGUGCUCAGAUUCUCCAAAGUUGUUCUUUUUUGCUCCCAUGUCCACAAAGCCACAAAUGAUCAAUGAGAGUCAAAUCGAGUUGUCUUUGAAGCGUGUACAAAAAUUAAAAGGAAAUAUGCUUCUGUUUAACAUAAAACAACUAAAAUAAAUAAAUCAGUGACUUAUUC